rnacentral:rRNA from 1 species
GGUAUGGAAAGCGGCGGACGGGUGAGUAAUGCUUGGGAAUCUACCCGGUAGUGGGGGACAACAGUUGGAAACGACUGCUAAUACCGCAUACGACCUACGGGUGAAAGAGGGGGAUCUUCGGACCUCUUGCUAUCGGAUGAGCCCAAGUCGGAUUAGCUAGUUGGUGAGGUAAAGGCUCACCAAGGCGACGAUCCGUAGCUGGUUUGAGAGGAUGAUCAGCCACACUGGGACUGAGACACGGCCCAGACUCC